rnacentral:rRNA from 1 species
AUUGAACGCUGGCGGCAUGCUUUACACAUGCAAGUCGAACGGUAACAGGCCUUCGGGUGCUGACGAGUGGCGAACGGGUGAGUAAUGCAUCGGAACGUACCCAGAGGUGGGGGUUAACGCAGCGAAAGCUGUGCUAAUACCGCAUGUGAUCUGAGGAUGAAAGCGGGGGACCGAGCAGCAAUGUUUGGCCUCGCGCCUUUGGAGCGGCCGAUGUCGGAUUAGCUAGUUGGUGGGGUAAAGGCCUACCAAGGCGACGAUCCGUAGCUGGUCUGAGAGGACGACCAGCCACACUGGGACUGAGACACGGCCCAGACUCCUACGGGAGGCAGCAGUGGGGAAUUUUGGACAAUGGGCGCAAGCCUGAUCCAGCAAUGCCGCGUGCGGGAAGAAGGCCUUCGGGUUGUAAACCGCUUUUGGCAGGAACGAAACGGUGUCCGCUAAUACCGGGCGCUAAUGACGGUACCUGCAGAAUAAGCACCGGCUAACUACGUG